rnacentral:misc_RNA from 1 species
UAUAUACAGUUGGCAAUCAUUAGUACUAAAAUGGUGUUACAGUUGGAAACAUCAUGAUACGCAUUUAAUUGCAAGUUGAUUAACAACAAAUUCACGGAGUACAGUUUGUUAAAAUAAAUGUGACCUCCUGCUAAUUUACAGAAUGCAGAUGGUGCAUUUAUUUUGGAGUUUUUUCUAUAUUUUGUUUAUUUGUCAAGUUAAUGCUGAAUAUACUGUCACAUUGUCUCAUGAUGGUCCUGUAGUAUUAGGUGGAACCAUCACUUUUAAAGCUGAUUUGUUUGAAGAUGGAGAAAGACCGUCAGGAACUUUUAAGUAUGCAUGGAAAGAUAAUGCAUUAACUCCUCAUGAAUAUGAGACAGAAACAUCAAAUACAACAACAUAUUGGAGUUUAAAUAUUUCACCAGAAAAUUAUACUGUUGGCACAUAUGCAGUCGAAGUAGUUGUUGAGAAAUAUUUUGUAAUUAUUUGGAGACAGCUCACCAGUGUUCGAACAAUAUUUCAUGUAACUGAGUUUCUUAAUGGUGAUAUUGGAAUUAUCCAAUCUAAUAAAACGGUAGCGGAUACAUAUGUUUCUUCUAUAUCUGAAACAAACAUGACGAUAAAUAUACGUAAAGGAGAUCUAGAUUACUUGAUGAAUGCCACAUCAGUAUCCAUUUACUGGUUUAUAGACUGCAAAUAUUACGGGCAAACGAGCGAUUUCUAUUUUCUUUACAAUUUUACAAUUCCUGAUAGAUCACAUAUUGUGGAAGCUUUAGUACUUGCAUCAUAUGACCCAAUAACAACAACUACUGUAUCUCCGACAACUGUUCCAGUAUCAACUGUUUCACCUAAUGCAACUGUGCCAAAUACUACAGUAUCAAAUAUAACAGUAUCAAAUAUUGCAGUAUCAAAUAUUACUACCACAGAGUUGGUAACUACUGUCACACCUAAUAAUUAUGCAACUUCUAAUAUUAUAAAUGUGACAUCUCCGAUACCGUUUAUUGAUACAUCAAAUACCAGCAUGGCUACUGUGAAUAAUAUUUCUUUACCUUAUAUUUGUUCAAAUUCUUCGAUGAUCCUUCCAGAUCCUAAUAAAACAUAUGGCCAUUUUAUUAAAAAAAUUGAUAUUCGUGCACCUAUAAUGAACAUAACAGUGGAAGGUACAAAUUGGAUUCAGCCAUGGGAUAUGUUAUCUCUUAAUGUAACGUGCAAAGGUUCUGGACCUUUCCAAAAGUGCCUUUAUUUUCAUAGAGGAAAGUAUAAUGUUACUGGAAAUGAAACGUGUGACAAUGGAACUCCCCUUUAUUCUUGUAAUUUUUCCAUCAUUCAUUAUUUUUUGGAACCUAGUGUAUACACCAUAUUAAUUAUACUGGAUAACGAUGUCAGCAAACAAAUCUAUCCAUUGACAAUAAAUAUUUACAAAGUCACAACAAAGCCACAACUAUCAGUGAUUGUUGUACCUGUUUCUUGUUCACUUGCUGCUGUAGUACUCAUUAUUUUUGGUAUUGCAUAUUAUAUACAAAGCAGAGCAAGAUUUACCGUGGAAGUUGCAGACUUUGAUUUUGGCCAAAAUAAUCCAGAGCUAGAAUAUAAAACAUUUAGAGAACGAUUACGAGAUUCAUUCAAUAAUGCCAUAACACCAGGAAGCAAACGGAUAAGUGUAUGCCAGCCCUAUUAUGGCAGCAUGAAUCACUAACAAGUACAGAUUGUACAAACUACCUAGUCUGUGAUUAACAUUUGUGCUACUAAUCACAUAUUGCAAAAAAUGACUAACUGUUUGUUAUUUUUAUUUGUAACAUCCAUGUAUCAUAUUUUAGCUUCAUCGUUGUGCACUCAUCUUUAACUGAUUUUGCACCUAAAAUUUAGUAAUCUGUGGUUAUAAGCCUCUUAGUAAUUCUCAAACUAUUCAAUGACGUUUAAGACGGGAAAAAGAAUAAUUGAAUCAUCCAAAGUCAUUCUAUGAAUCACAAGAAAUCGAAAAGAUAACAAGUGAGAGAACUAAGUAAAGUUUAUUAUAAGAAAGAUUUUAGAAUUGUAUUUUACAAUAUAUUUUUAAGCACCAAUUAAUUUAAUCCUAAUCGAAAGCUAAUAUUCUAGCUAUAUAAAUUAAUUCAUUCCAAACGGUUCAUGAUUAAGAUUAAGAUUGUAUAUAGAACAAAUAAAGUUUGUAUACAUAGGCUGUGAAUAUAGUAUGCAACGGAAUAUUGCUUGUGAGGUUUUGUAGAGGUAACAUUUUAAUAUCAGUCUUUUGAAUUUUAAUUUUUUUUAAAAACUAAAACGCAUGUUUUACAUUUUUAGUUUGAUUUUCAGCUUCUUAUGUUUAAUCUUUCAUUAGGUGAUUUUUAAAUUACUUAACUUCUCUGUUAUAAGAAAAGUGUUAAUUAGCACGCAACGUGUAUACAUCAGUAUACAUUGUAAGUAUAGAUUACUAGUAUUAAAAAUUAAGUGGAUAAACGAAAAUGUAUAAACAUAUUUGGACAAAAUAUGUAUAAAACCAUUCUUCUAUAUGUAUAUGCAUUUGUAUGCACUUAAAUGUAUGCAUAUAUAUGUACAGUGUGCAAGGUAUGUCAUCUACCUUGAUCACUUUAAUGGGUUUCUGACAUUUAUAGAACUAUCAAGAAAACUUUAUUCACAUAAGUUACAUACAUGUUAUCAAACUGGGCUUUGGUACCAUAAUAUGUAAAAAAUUUUCUCAAAAGUUGAUUGAAAACUAAAUGUUGGGAGAUCCAAGUUGAUUUUGAAGACAAUAUGAUUUCUGCAAACAAAUUUUCUGCAUAUUUCUACAAAUAAGAAAGAUAAUUAAGGUGGUCAAGUUAGAUAACCCACUUCAUAUAAAAUUAAAUUUGAUUAAGUUUUUUUUAAUAUUUAAAACAACGUAUUUAACUAAACUAAGUAGCUGAAACGACAAAAUUGAAUGAUAAUUUCGAAAACUUAAUCAUAAAGUAAUGAACUGUGCAGUAUUUAAAAAAUAAAAUGUUCUUGUAAAACUUGUAAAGAA